rnacentral:lncRNA from 1 species
AGCGAUUCUCCUGCCUCAGCCUUCUGAGUAGCUAGGAUUAUAGGCACGUGCUACCACGCCUGGCUAAUUUUUGUAUUUUUAGUAGAGAUGGGGUUUCACCAUGUUAGCCAGGCUGGUCUCAAACUCCUGACCUUGUGAUCCGCCGGCCUUGGCCUCCCAAAAUGCUGGGAUUACAGGCAUGAGCCACUGCGCCCAGCCUCUGUCCAUAAAUCUUCUUCCACCUCAUGGCUCCGCUGGAGUCCCCAAGCCUACUCUGGCUCAGAAGGCUGCUGGAUUCACCAGUCACUCAUUGCUCAAUUAAACCUCUUUAAAUUUAAUUUGGCUGAAGUUUUUCUUUUAUUAAAACAAUAGCUGGAGUAAUUUCUUUCUAAUUCUGCUUUUCUUUGUCAUUCUUACUGUCUUCAUUGUACAGAUAAGGAAACUGGGAUCCAGGUGGAAUGAGCGAAGCAGGGGAGGGAGAUGCGGUGGAUUAACUUUGGCCCGUGAGGAAGGACCUGGGACCUGUCGGAGCACUGGUUUUGGCUGAUGAAAGUGGAGAAGGCUGUACACUUCUUAUGGAUGGCGACUGAGACUGUCACCUUUUAUAGCCCCGACACAUGGUGGACUCUGUUCUGUUCAUUUGAAGGGGCUUGUUUGGAGACAAUGGGCUUCGUCUGCUCAACCAUGAAGUUCUAGAUUUUGCCUUAUUCUGAUGUCUGUACUGAGUGCAUUGAUGAC